rnacentral:rRNA from 1 species
AACGAACGCUGGCGGCAGGCCUAACACAUGCAAGUCGAGCGCGCCCUUCGGGGUGAGCGGCGGACGGGUGAGUAACGCGUGGGAACGUGCCCUUUUCUACGGAAUAGCCUCGGGAAACUGAGAGUAAUACCGUAUACGCCCUUUGGGGGAAAGAUUUAUCGGACAAGGAUCGGCCCGCGUUGGAUUAGGUAGUUGGGGGGGUAAUGGCCUACCAAGCCGACGAUCCAUAGCUGGUUUGAGAGGAUGAUCAGCCACACUGGGACUGAGACACGGCCCAGACUCCUACGGGAGGCAGCAGUGGGGAAUCUUAGACAAUGGGGGCAACCCUGAUCUAGCCAUGCCGCGUGAGUGAUGAAGGCCUUAGGGUUGUAAAGCUCUUUCAGCUGGGAAGAUAAUGACGGUACCAGCAGAAGAAGCCCCGGCUAACUCCGUG